rnacentral:rRNA from 1 species
AGAGUUGUAUCCUGGCUCAGAUUGAACGCUGGCGGCAUGCCUUACACAUGCAAGUCGAACGGUAACGCGGGGCAACCUGGCGACGAGUGGCGAACGGGUGAGUAAUAUAUCGGAACGUGCCCAGUAGUGGGGGAUAGCCCGGCGAAAGCCGGAUUAAUACCGCAUACGACCUAAGGGUGAAAGGGGGGGAUCGCAAGACCUCUCGCUAUUGGAGCGGCCGAUAUCAGAUUAGCUAGUUGGUGGGGUAAAAGCCUGCCAAGGCGACGAUCUGUAGCUGGUCUGAGAGGACGACCAGCCACACUGGGACUGAGACACGGCCCAGACUCCUACGGGAGGCAGCAGUGGGGAAUUUUGGACAAUGGACGAAAGUCUGAUCCAGCCAUGCCGCGUGCGGGAAGAAGGCCUUCGGGUUGUAAACCGCUUUUGUCAGGGAAGAAAUCCCUUGGGAUAAUACCUCGGGGGGAUGACGGUACCUGAAGAAUAAGCACCGGCUAACUACGUGCCAGCAGCCGCGGUAAUACGUAGGGUGCAAGCGUUAAUCGGAAUUACUGGGCGUAAAGCGUGCGCAGGCGGUUAUAUAAGACAGAGGUGAAAUCCCCGGGCUCAACCUGGGAACUGCCUUUGUGACUGUAUAGCUUGAGUGCGGCAGAGGGGGAUGG